GGGGUUCGAGUCCCAGCUGGAAGGGUCUGGGGUUCGAGUCCCAGCUGAAAGGGUCUGGGUUCGAGUCCCAGCUGAAAGGGUCUGGGGUUCGAGUCCCA